rnacentral:rRNA from 1 species
UGGGGAAUAUUGCGCAAUGGGCGCAAGCCUGACGCAGCAACGCCGCGUGAGUGAUGAAGGCCUUCGGGUCGUAAAGCUCUGUCGACAGGGACGAUGGGUGAUUUGUUUAAUAAACGAGUCAUUUGACGGUACCUGUAAAGGAAGCACCGGCUAACUCUGUGCCAGCAGCCGCGGUAAGACAGAGGGUGCAAGCGUUGUUCGGAAUCAUUGGGCGUAAAGGGCGCGUAGGCCGUUUUGUGUGUCGAAUGUGAAAUACCUGGGCUUAACCGAGGAAGUGCAUUCGAAACUACAGAACUAGAAUCCCAAAGAGGUUGGUGGAAUUCCCAGUGUAGAGGUGAAAUUCGUAGAUAUUGGGAGGAACAUCGGUGGCGAAGGCGACCAACUGGUUGGUGAUUGACGCUGAGGCGCGAAAGCGUGGGGAGCAAACAG